rnacentral:rRNA from 1 species
CACCGCGGUUACACGAGAGGCCCAAGUUGAUAGACAUCGGCGUAAAGGGUGGUUAAUAGAAGAAAUAAUACUAAAGCCGAACGCCUUCAAAGCUGUCAUAAGCUCUCGAGGGUAGGAAGCUCGCCCACGAAAGUGGCUUUAACAACUAUGACCCCACGAAAGCUAGGGCA